UACAGAGGGUGCAAGCGUUGUUCGGAAUUAUUGGGCGUAAAGGGCGCGUAGGCGGUGCGGUAAGUCUGUAGUGAAAUCUCUGGGCUCAACUCAGAGUCUGCUGCAGAAACUGCCGUGCUUGAGUCCGGAAGAGGAGAGUGGAAUUCCCGGUGUAGCGGUGAAAUGCGCAGAUAUCGGGAAGAACACCCGUGGCGAAGGCGGCUCUCUGGGACGGUACUGACGCUGAGACGCGAAAGCGUGGGGAGCGAACAGG
rnacentral:rRNA from 1 species